CCUACGGGCGGCAGCAGUGGGGAAUAUUGGACAAUGGGGGCAACCCUGAUCCAGCCAUGCCGCGUGUGUGAAGAGGGCCCUCGGGUUGUAAAGCACUUUCAGUGAGGAAGAACGCCUGGUGGUUAAUACCCAUCAGGAAAGACAUCACUCACAGAAGAAGCACCGGCUAACUCCGUGCCAGCAGCCGCGGUAAUACGGAGGGUGCGAGCGUUAAUCGGAAUUACUGGGCGUAAAGCGCGCGUAGGUGGCUUGAUAAGCCGGUUGUGAAAGCCCCGGGCUCAACCUGGGAACGGCAUCCGGAACUGUCAAGCUAGAGUGCAGGAGAGGAAGGUAGAAUUCCCGGUGUAGCGGUGAAAUGCGUAGAGAUCGGGAGGAAUACCAGUGGCGAAGGCGGCCUUCUGGACUGACACUGACACUGAGGUGCGAAAGCGUGGGUAGCAAACAGGAUUAGAUACCCCAGUAGUC
rnacentral:rRNA from 1 species